rnacentral:rRNA from 1 species
CUGUCUCCCGCCUCUAAUCAGUGAACUUAAUCUCCCCGUGAAGAAGCGGGGAUAAAACCAUAAGACGAGAAGACCCCAUGGAGCUUAAAACAAAAGGCACCUGCUAACAACAAAGUUAAGCGACUUGACCUGACGUUUUCGGUUGGGGCGACCACGGAGAACAACCCACCCUCCAUGCUGAAAGAUGAUAAUCUUAGCCAAAACAACCCAUUUAAGCACCAGAAUCCUGACAUUCAUUGACCCAAUCUAAUUGAUCAACGAACCAAGUUACCCUGGGGAUAACAGCGCAAUCCACUUCGAGAGCCCCUAUCGACAAGUGGGUUUACGACCUCGAUGUUGGAUCAGGGUUCCCAA